AACAGCCGCGGUAAUUCCAGCUCCAAUAGCGUAUAUUAAAGUUGUUGCAGUUAAAAAGCUCGUAGUUGAAUUUCGGGAUCAAUUCGUCGGUCGUGCUUUUUGGUACGUACUGGCGUUAUUGGUUUCACCCUUCUGACGAGCCAUGAUGUCAUUAAUUUGGUGUUAUGGGGAGUUAGGACUGUUACUUUGAAAAAAUUAGAGUGUUUAAAGCAGGCAUUAGCUUGAAUACAUUAGCAUGGAAUAAUGAAAUAGGACGUUCGAUCCUAUUUUGUUGGUUUCUAGGAUCAACGUAAUGAUUAAUAGGGAUAGUUGGGGGCAUUAGUAUUCAAUUGUCAGAGGUGAAAUUCUUGGAUUUAUUGAAGACUAACUACUGCGAAAGCAUUUGCCAAGGAUGUUUUCAUUAAUCAAGAACGAAAGUUAGGGGAUCGAAGACGAUCAGAUACCGUCGUAGUCUUAACCAUAAGCUAUGCCGACUAGGGGUCGGAUGAUGUUAAUUUUUUAAUGACUCA
rnacentral:rRNA from 1 species